AUCGGUGCAGGAUGGGCCCGCGGCCUAUCAGCUUGUUGGUGGGGUAAUGGCCUACCAAGGCGACGACGGGUAGCCGACCUGAGAGGGUGACCGGCCACACUGGGACUGAGACACGGCCCAGACUCCUACGGGAGGCAGCAGUGGGGAAUAUUGCACAAUGGGCGAAAGCCUGAUGCAGCGACGCCGCGUGAGGGAUGAAGGCCUUCGGGUUGUAAACCUCUUUCAGCAGGGACGAAGCGCAAGUGACGGUACCUGCAGAAGAAGCACCGGCUAACUACGUGCCAGCAGCCGCGGUAAUACGUAGGGUGCGAGCGUUGUCCGGAAUUACUGGGCGUAAAGAGUUCGUAGGCGGUUUGUCGCGUCGUUUGUGAAAACCCGGGGCUCAACUUCGGGCUUGCAGGCGAUACGGGCAGACUUGAGUGUUUCAGGGGAGACUGGAAUUCCUGGUGUAGCGGUGAAAUGCGCAGAUAUCAGGAGGAAC
rnacentral:rRNA from 1 species